rnacentral:lncRNA from 1 species
CUAGCUAGCUAGGAGAGAACUCCAGUCAACAUAGCAGCUGUGAUUACAGAUUUACCAUACUUCAGUACUAACAAAAGCUAAUAUUUUGCUCUAAUGAAUCUAAAGGAAGAAGUUUUGGAAAAUCUUUGUUAAUCAUUAGCUGCUAACUCCAAGAGACAUUCAUGCUACAGAAGAUAAAACUGAAACAGACAUGCUAAUUGAGCAAUAUGAUCAAUCCUUUCACUGAAUUGUCAUGCAUAUUGAACCUAAUGUAGCAACAUUAAGCUAAUUAGGCAUAUUACUGCACCGAGCGACAGCUUUAUCUACGUUAGAUGUUCUAGGCCAUAGAGGUGAUGUAAGUGCAAAAGUUUAGGCCUCUUGACAUGUCAGAACACCAAUAACACUCUCAACCCUCUGUCGAGUGUAUAGUAAUUCUACCAUAAAAUGAGAACUAUAACCACGUUUCAUGAAUGAAAAAGACAAACUUUGCAGAACCUUUCGCUAAAUUGAUCGAUGUUUAUAGAUAGCUCUCUCUUAUUUUUUUCAUUGCCACUUGUGGGUAAGGAGAAAUAGAAGUACGCAAGAAGGAAAUGACUCAGCAUCAAGAGUCAAUUUCAGAGACUUGCGCUGGCAUGAUGAUUACAUAAGAAAAGUGAAGAAUGGUCUGAUCUAGCUUCCAACUACUAGGAGAUCAUACUAAGGUGGAAUGGAAGGGUCUCAUGUUUCAAAACAGUACUCAACCCAAGGCUAUAUUUAUAUUGUGACUACAAUGUCAUGGAAGGUUGAUGAUUGUGGAUAGGCUUACCAAGUGGGGGAUCAGUGUGAACGUUGCACAGACUCUUCGUUUUUCGUGCCGCACCUGUCUCAACACGGGAUGGGUGCGGGAUAACUAUGUGAACGUUGCACGGACUCUUCGUUUUUCGUGCCGCACCUGUCUCAACACGGGACGGGUGCGGGAGCGGGAUAACUUCGGAUACUUUGACCUGAGUCCAUUGACAAAUUUGGGGGAAAAUUGAGAUUUUGAUUUCUCAAAAUUAGAAUUAAAGCAGAUUUUAAGACAUGCGAAAUGGCAUACCUUCAAAUUGUAGCACUUUUGUUUCAUAUUUGCUGCUUUGUGUUCCAGGAAAACCAAGAAUUCAAGGGGUCAUGUUCUGAGUUCAAACUUUAGCUCUAUUUUUUGUAAUUUUGAAUUUUUUUUUAGCCGAAUCCCGCACCCGUAUCCAACCUGGAUCCGCACCCCUCGAAUCUUAAAAUUUAAAUUUUGCUAAAUUCAACACUUGGAUCCG